AACAUCCCACACCGAAUGGAAAGGACACUCUAAAGCCAUGGAGUUUGAACAGACCCAGGGCUCUCUACCAUGAGCUGCCAGGGAUUUCAAACAGCCAGCUGCCUUGGUUACAUGACCAUGCAAAAAAAAUUUGUGGAGGCACGCUUAUUUAUCGUCAAUCCCAGGAUGGACGCAACUCUUGAAACCCAUUCAAUCAGUACUGAUCCGGAUGUUCACAGGAGAGAAAGGAGAAAUAAAAUCCAUCCAUCUUACCUUUCUGAAUGGAAACCCUAAAGUUUCCAGCAGUCCCCAAAUCCGCUAUCUUUAUUCCCUGGGGGCAGAACAGUGAGGAUAUGAAAACCCCC
rnacentral:lncRNA from 1 species